UGUGGCUGUGGUAUAGGAUGGCAGCUGUAGCUCCAAUUAGACCCCUAGCCUGGGAACCUCCAUAUGCUGUGAGUGCAGGACCCCCAGCCCACCGAAAAAAAAAGACAAAAGAAAAGAAUAAUGAUGAAAGCUAGGAGCUAUCAAAAUUCCAUUGACGUUCCCAUUGUGGCUCAGCAGAUUAAGCACCCGACAUAGUGUCCAUGAGGAUGCAGGUUCAAUCCCUGGCCUCACUCAGUGGGUUAAAGAUACAGCAUUGUGGCAAGCUGCUGUGUAGGCUGCAAAUGCAGCUCGGAUCCCGUGUGGCUGUGGCUGUGGCAUACAUAGGCAGCUGCGUCUCCUUGACCCUUAGCCCAUACAUUUCCAUAUGCCACAGGUGCCACCCCCAAAGUAAAUAAAAUAAAAAUUCCGUUGAUUGGAUGUAAAAAGUAGAGGUUUAGAAUUGUGAAAGACCCAAGAAAUCAUUUAGACUAGUAAUAUGUACCAGAAUCCCUUAUGAAGUAUUGUGAAGCUAUAAUUAUCCAGGCUCUCCCUUCUUGUAUCUACCAAGUCAAAAAUGUCCACAGGUAAUUCCAAUGCAGUAUCUUCUUCACAGGAACCACUGAACGAAUUCAAGUCUUUAGAUUUUAUGGUGAGGAAAUUGAGGCUUAGAAUAAAUAGCUUGCCUAAGACUCCUAGCUUCUUGAUGGUUUUGUUUUGUUUCUCUUGUCCUGAAGAAGAGUUUUAAGUAGUAAGCAGAAACAUAUAAGGCUUCUUGAGGUCGAGACUCCAAACUGACACACUGGCACUUCUGUCUCAUUCUGUUGGCCAGAGCAGGUUAUGUGACCAAGUAAAACUCAAGGGGUAGGGAAACAGAAUUCACCUCUUUAGAGAAAUGACAAAGUGACAUGAAGGGGUGAAGAAGUGGAACCAUUAAUACCAUGGUAGGGAUGACUGGAGCAUGUUUGAAAAGUAUAAAGAAUUUGUAGGAUGAAGAAGAAAAUGAAGAAGAAAGAUCACUACCAUAGGUCAGAGAAUUAACUUUUGAAAAAAGGAACAGUACUUCUGGGAAUGGAAAGAAGGGGCAUUUGACUGAAUUAUAUUUAGCAAAUUAAAAUACAGGAUGUCCAGUAAUUUUUUAAACUUCAGAUAAACAAUGAAUAAGUUUUUAGUAUUAAGUACCUGCAUACAAUCUUUGGUAGGCUCUCAGUACAUAGUUGGCUAUUUUUAUUAGUUUAAAUACUAUUUAAAUAUUUCUAUCAUACAAUAUUUUGGACAUACUUAUCCCAAAAUAUGAUUCCUUUUUAUUUGAAAUUCAGAUGUUACCAGGCAUCCUGUGUCUUAAUCUGACAGCCCUAUUUUGGUUGACUUUUAAAUAAAGCCAUGGUAAGAUAACCUACAAAGGACUAGCAAGGUGCUUUGGGGGAUUUAAUCCUGGAAGAAGUUUGGAACAGCUGCAGUGGAUGCUGUGCACUGCCCAAGAGAGGACUGCCAAGCAGCAGGGAAGGCCCACUGACCAAGAGGCAGCACAACUCUUCAUUGCAUCAGCAGUGGUACUUCACUGCUGGGUGCAGAAGUGGGACGAAGGUGGCAGGUACAGGUGACCACCUUGGUUUGACUGUGUAGGAGAGGCCUGGGAAGGAGUUUGGGCAUAGUUGAAAUGACUAGGGGGUCCAGGUUGUACAGGAAAACAGGUGAAACCAGAAGGAAUUGGGAGGCAAAGGUAAAAGUGAGUCAAAGAGGUGGAAGUUCCCAGAGAAGUAGAAUUUACAGUCUUGGAAGAAUAGUUCUGUGAUAAUGGGGUUAAAAAUCCAAUUUCACGAGAGAACUAGAGCUAAAUUAAAAGCAAGAGCUCUGGAGACAAAGUACCUAGUUUUGCAUUCUAGUUGUAUGAUUUUGGUCAAAUAAUUAAACUUCCCUAUGACUUAGUUUUUUUUUUUUCUUUUGUAAAUCAUGAAUAAUAAUGGAUCUCAUAACCUCGUAGGGUUAUUGUGAGAAUUAAGUGAAAUAAACUACAUGAAGGUACCUAGAACAGUAUGUCUGGUGUUUGCUAUGUUUUAUUAUUUAUAUACCACUUGCAUGUAUCUAUAAUCAAUAAAUGUGAGUGCAUUAAAGAAUAUUGUUUGAAAGAAAAAAGGCACAUGUACAGUGUAUGUUCUGCCUUAGCUAACAAAUGCUAGGUUUGGUAAAUACCAUUAGCUACUUGUUUAAGUUGGAGCUCAAAGAGCCUUUACCACUUAAGGUUGUUUUCUUUACUGUUAUUAUAAGAAAAUAAUUGUCAUGCUCAAGUCAUAUCUGUCUCCUCACUUCCCCCUAGGUGACCAUGCUUUGGGAUUUUCAUAGUUUGAGUAAUUCCUCCGGGCUCUGCCACCCAGCAAGUUAAAGAGGACAAGAUUCCUCACUGGGGGUUGUGGUUCUGGGAAUGUGAGCAGCUUGUUUUCAUGAAUUCUGCACCCUGACCUGGCCUACUGUUAGGAGCUGUUGUGUUGGUAGUGGCGGUGUUUUUAGUUAUUUCCUCCACCUUCCACAGUUACUUGUAUAUAAAGAUUUUUGAAAAGUGAAUGUUUUAUGGGGAUGUUUUGCUUAUGCAACGAAAAAUUAAAACUGUUUCAAAGUAA